GUUAGGAAUAUUGGACAAUGGGCGCAAGCCUGAUCCAGCCAUGCCGCGUGAGUGAUGAAGGCCUUCGGGUUGUAAAGCUCUUUAGUCCACGAAUAUAAUGACUGUAGUGGAAGAAUAAGCCCCGGCUAACUUCGUGCCAGCAGCCGCGGUAAUACGAAGGGGGCGAGCGUUAUUCGGAAUCACUGGGCGUAAAGCGUGCGUAGGCUGUUUUGUAAGUCAGAAGUGAAAGCCCAGGGCUUAACCCUGGAAUUGCUUUUGAAACUACAAAACUCGAAUUCGGGAGAGGAUAGCGGAAUUGUCAGUGUAGCAGUGAAAUGCGUAGAUAUUGACAGGAACACCAGUGGCGCAAGCGGCUAUCUGGACCGAUAUUGACGCUGAGGCACGAAAGCGUGGGGAGCAAACAGGAUUAGAUACCCGGGUAGUCC
rnacentral:rRNA from 1 species